CAGACUCAACGUCUGAUGGUUACACUUUUUGAGUCAGCCAUGGACUCAAAAUCAGCUGGACCCAAAAAUAGUAGCUAAGCUGCUGACUGAAUCACACCGUACUUUAAAGAACGCUUCAGCAAUUUUGCUUUGUCUUUUGCCCUAGACAUCUCUUUAUAACUUUUCUGUUCUGAUAAUCUAUUCCAAAUUUCCUGCUUACCUGUGAAAUAUUUCUGCAAGGUAUUUUGCAGCCUUUUCCAUUCAUUUGUUGAGCUCACAAAAUCUCUGCUUAAAAUAUGACAUUGGUGAAAGCCAUGAAGAAAAC
rnacentral:lncRNA from 1 species